rnacentral:lncRNA from 1 species
AAAACAUCAUGCCCACUUUAGAGGAUUGUGGCUUAAACAUGGAAAGAAAUAUGAUUUGCAAAGAAUACUCUUUGAGCAGCCAGCAUCUUGCUCAAGGAUACCGAGUCUUCUACUCAGGGCAGUGGAAGACAUGGGAUGUGGUCUAUAUUGAGCUUUUUAGCCCAUACUCUAGAAUCAGUGCUGGGAAUUUCCUCUCCUUUUGAUCCUGCUGCCACGUAGGCCACUCCCCAUAGUAGUGACCCUAAGGGAGAGGUUAAAGAGGGUUGGGAGGUGGGCAUCAUUAUACUCACCAGGGCUGGUAAGGAGGGGAUGGGUGAUGAGCUGGAAGAUUGGCCAGGCAUGUUCAGGGCAUUAAACUUGGGAACCACUGCAACACUGACCCUUCGACGGGGCAUGUUCUGUGGGAAGAGAAGUGACCAGGCCCACUGUCAUGGAGGGAACAGCAUCCACAGUUCAAAAGGCCUGGAAAAUUCCUACUAGUUCCUAAUUAAAGUAAUUACAUUCACUGGACAUUUUGGCUUUGGGGUGGUGAUGGUGUUGGGGCUUGGUGUGGAAAGAGUGGCCAAAGUUGACCCAAGUUUUCUGUUAGUGGUGAGUGAUUUCUCAACAUGUUCUUAUUUUAGAUUAUAUCCUGAAGAAAUGGAAAAGAAAUGACCCCCAGUCUGGAUAACAUCCCGGAUAGUGUAUGAAAAGUCUAGGAAUACCAAGGUUUAUGCAUCAUUUCGUAUUCAUUUGGGGGAUGGUACAGUCAGAGAAACCAUGAGCAAGAGAAGGUUGGAGAAUGAACUAGCAAGUGUGGUAAACUGAAUUAGAGACCCUGUCCAGAGGUUCUCUGGCACCUGUAGAUCCAAGCAUGAAUGACUUUCUGGGUGACUGUGGCAACGUCUCUUGUAAUCCCCUUGGGAGCCCUGGUAUUCCUUGAACAUGCAUACCUUUCCCAGUGUGAGGGACAUGGACCGCGCUGUUCGAGGGACCCCAUCUUCUGCAGCAAGAAGGAACAGAGAAGAGAAGUCAGGUAAGUUUUCAGAGUAGGCUCCAGCAGAAAAUGGGUAGCCAGAAACUAAGCUGAGAUAUCAGUUUAUCAGAACUGUCCCUCAAGGAAUAGUUUAAGAGCCUAAGUGAUGGGAACACUGAGUUUGACACUACCCCCUGAGACAAUUAUCUGUAGAGUGGGACUUUUCUGGACAGAAUUUUUAUCCUAACUCCUCUGGGCACUAUGAGAAGCCCAUCUUGGACCUCUGAUAUCCACCUGACACCGCUGCACAGUCUCUGGUAAUGCCCUGAUGAGUAUGUGAAAAACUACUCAUAGCGAUACCAAGGCUUUGGGGUUAUUUCUUGCUUAUUUAAGGGACAUGCAGUCAGUGAAAUUAUGAGCAAGGAAGGUGUGGUAUCAGUAAAUAAUGGAAAAUUGUUGACAAAGUGGUUUUAAUAAGUCAUCUAUGAAAAAUUUGGAACAAAGGAAACCAGUACCCUGUAUUUUCAUCUCCUUAGUACAUGCAUUAGAUGAUAUAUUUUAUAUAAAAUGUCUUCUACCACAUCUGGAUAAUACUGCCACCAGAAAACACUAAUAUGUGCAGAGAAAUGUUUUUGAAAGCUCAAUUCAGUGUCAGUUUGACCAAUAUUAUCUAGCUUGUAUAUCUGUUUGUCCCUCAUAUCCAUGUAUUUUAGGUAUGUCUCUUAAAAAGCACAUUUCCCCCCUUGUUUUUCUAUUUACCUCACUUCAUUAAUUUUUUUUUUUUUUUACUUACCACCCCUUCCAGCCUGCACAUUGGUGUAGAAGUUAUGCAUUUUAGUUCUAAUCUUUAAUGUACCCACUAAAAUUUGUAACAUAUUAUGUGACUUUAUAUUUAUUUAUUUAUUUAUUUAUUUAUUUAUUUAUUUAUUUAUGAGAGAGUACAAGCAGGGGAGAGGGGCAGAGGGAGAGAGAAAGAGAAUCUUAAGCAGACUCGAUGCAUAGCACAGAGCCUGAUGAGGGGCUCAAUCCCAUGACCCCGAGCUCAUGACCUGAGCCAAAAUCAAGAGUCAGAUGCAUCACUGACUGAGCCACCCAGGCGCGCUCAUAUUACAUGACUUUAAAUUUUUUAAUUAAUCAUGAUUUCUAUUCUUUUCCUAAUUAAACCUUAAAACAAUAACUCCCUCAAAUUUCAAAUUAUGUUGCUUUUUAGUAGUUUUGUUUACUUUGUUUUUGUAAUCCCAUAUUAUUAUGAUUAUUGUUUUCAAUAUGGAAUGCUUGUUUAGAUUUACGCCCAUUUACAAAUGUCUGAUCACCAUUACCUCUUGCAUCCUCCUCCUUUCUUUUGAUCUCGAUUUUAUUCUUUCCUAAGCACACCCUUUAGUUAUUCUUUUGGCAAGGGUCUGUAAUAGGUAAACUUUCUGAGUUGUUGUCUCAAAAUAUCUUCACCAGGCCUGUAGGCUUGCAUCAUAGUUUAGCUGGCCCUGUUUUCUCUAGGUGGACAGUUGUUUCUCUCAGCUCCUUGAAGACUUUUACUUCAUUGUCUUUUGGUACCACCAUUGCUAUUCAGAAUUAUCUGUCUUUUGUAAAUCCUCUGUCUUCUCUCUCUGGUUACUUUUAAAAUUUUUACUUCAUCUUCUAUGUGUUUUUAUCUCUUCUGCUUGGAAUUCACUGUGCUUUCUUAAUCCAAUGGUUCAUGUCUUUCUUUAGUUCCAAAAAACUCUCAGAUUCUGGAAAACCUUUUUGCAUACUUUCUCUCUCCCAUUCUCCUCUUGUGGAUCUGCUAAUAAAGGUAUUUGGAACUUUCUCAUUUUAUACUCUGUAUCCCAUAUUUUAUAAUAUCUUAUAACAUUUUUUUAGUAUUUUUAAAAGGAAAUAUAAGUUUAUUGAAUAUACCACAAAGGAGUCGUGGACAGGACAACAGAGGAGAGACUGUCUGCCUUCUUUUAUAUUUUUGAUUAAUUUAUCCCUCUGAACUGCACUUGGGUAACUUCUUCAAAUCUAUCUUCAGUUAACUAAUCUUUGUCCGCAACUGUGCCCAGUCUGAUUUAAAUGUUGUACCAAUAAACUAGGUUAUGCUACCAUAAUAAACAACCCCAAAGUCUUAGUGGCUUAUAACAAUAAAAAUUUAUUUGUUUAUGUUCAUUUGCUUCUGAGUUGGCAGAAGGCUCUGCUCUGCAUUUCCUCACUCUGCAUUUCCUCAGACUAACGGAGCUUCUACUAUUCUGGAGCAGUGAUGGUUGUCAUGUGAGGAAGAAGAAAUAUAAGGCAAAUUACACACUAGUUUCUUAAAGACCUCAGCUCAAAGGUGACACAUAUCCUUCUGCUCACAUUUUAUUUGCCAAAUCACACAGCAUUCACCUAACAUGGCAUCACCUAACUUGGGAGAAGUGUGCCCGAAAGGAGAAGAUCUAGAAUCUCCACUAUAGUAACUACCUCCACUAUAGUACCUACUAUACCUAAUAUACUGAGUUUUUAAUUUCCAUUCCUCAUAUCCUCAUUUCUAGGAGUUCUUUCCUUUUUUAUUUUUAUUAUUUUAUUUUUUAUUCUUUUUUGAUAAUUUUAGUUUAUUCUCAUAUUUUUUAUUCAUUCUUUGAUGCCUCUAAUAAUUUUAAACAUAUCUUUUAAAACUUAUCAGGUUGUUUUAUUUUCUGUAAUCCUUAGGAUAUAAUCCUGUUGUUUAGUGGAUGAUUCUUGUUCAAGGUAGAUUGUUUUCUUAUGUAUUUUAUAAUUCUAUACUGUAAAAUAAUCUUCAGUGAGGUUUCAGUGAGCAGAAUCUUGUGUGUCCUGCAUGAAGGGUGUGCCUCUCCAGGGUGGCUUUAUGUUUGUUUCUGACAGAGUCCCUACAGGCAUCAUUGUGAUGUUCUUUUCAGAUUCUCUGCAUAUUGCAUCACAACUUCUGUCAUGGCAUACACUUUUCUUACGAGAAAGGAGAAAGUAUUUUUUCCUACUACAGGGUGAAACAGACUUCCUUGAUUUGUGUCUCUGCUGUUUGAGGAGUGUUUUUUUCUUGUUCAAGUUCUGUCUAAAGAUGCAGUCUUGCAAAAUCUUAACUUUCUGUAGGAGUCUCAUAGUCAACUCUCAGUCAUGGGUGUCCAAGACCUCAUCUCAGAUUGCAUGCAAGUGCAAAAGCCCAGCACUGAGAUGAUUGAAGCUGAUUCUUGUACCCAAGGAAGCUGCAGGUUUCAGUUCUCUUUUCUUUUCUUGUAUCUGAGUAUUUCAAUUUCUUUUCCUGUGGAUUCAGCUAUUCUUUUAAACUAAUGUUUGCUUUAUUUUAUCUAGCAGAAACAUCUAAGCACUUGUGGUCAAGGAGUUUCAACUUUUUCAGUCAGCCAAAAUAGCAGAACCAUAAAAUAUUUUUUAUAUAUUGAAGCAUUCAUACAAAUUAACCAAGUACUAAUCUUACAAGUAGGCAAAAGAUAUAAUUAGAGAAUUUACAAAAGUAGAAAUACAAAUGUCCAAAAAACAUUUGAAAAGGCCAAAAAUACAAAUUCAAACUAUGAGAUGAGAUAUAAUCUUGACCCAUCAAAGUCAAAAAAAAAUUUUAAAGGAAAGGACAAGAAUAUCAAUAGCACAAUGAACUGAGCAUUAUUGUUACCCAUUACAUGGAAAUAUCAAUGCGUUAUUUGAAAAGAGUUUUCUUGAAGAGCCUUAUAAAAUUUGGUUUCCCCCAGGCUAGUAUUUAUACUUCCAGAAAUCCAUCUUAAGGAAAUAAUCCAAAAUGUAGGUUAUCAGUAUGUUUCAUAUUCAGAAAAAAAUAACUGAUGUUAUUUUUUAAAUGUGUAGCACCUUUCCUUAAAUAAGAGAUAUUUUUACUUCACUGUAGUCUUCAGAGUCUCAGGCAUAGACAAAGAUUGCCAGUAGUCAUGUAAAGGCUUAAAAACAAACAUUAUUAGGGAAUGGUCAUAGAGUAUCCAACGGACACACCUGUUAGGUGGAUGCUGGCUCCUCUACACAAGCCCAGGCUGAAAAACAAUGCAGUGGGAACAAAUAUCUGAAAAACACUUAUUCACCAUUUGAGAUUCAGCUACCAUCUCCCUUCUUACUGUAAGCACAUUCUCCUCUCCCCAGGCUGAAUGUGGGACUCUGCAAUGUGCUCCCCAUAGGAACUUGCUUACUGCUGUCACUGGGAUGGUUCUACUGCUCUGCCUUCCCCACAGGCUGGGAGUUCCUUUGGAUCUCAGUGACUGCGUAUCCUUUAUUUCUAUAUUUCAGUAUCAUGUGGGGGCACAUCAAAGGUGUUCAGUCAAUGUCUUUAGAAUGAAUGAAUGGGUAACUGCUCAUUCCAUAAAUCUUGGAUAAGGCAGUUUAUAGGAGACCUUGUACCUUCCAGGACAAUAAUGCAAGGACCCAUGUAUUAGGAUUUCUUUGGUGGCAACUUCCCCAACUCCUAACACUGACAGAGAGCAGUUUGCUAUAAGCCCAGAUGCUUGUGGAUCAGGAGUUUGCUGUCAAGACCAAAAGCAGACAGUCUGGAGCAUGUGUACACUGCCUUUUGACUCUGGAAAGUGUCACUGAUAUUCCCCAGGAAACUUGUGAAACCUCCUGUUUAUAAAGGUUUCUCCAUCUGUUAUACUUUCCCUCCUCCUGCUCUUGGUAUCCCGGAUGUUUGCAUUCCACAGGGAUUCCUGUCACUAAAAGGUUUGUUUUCUUCUGCUAGUCCUAUCCUCAUCAGCCAGAGCCCAGACCCUGACAGCUCCCAAGCAGAGAUCCUCGUCCAGGUCACUGUCCUCUUCGUCCUGGAGUGCUGCAAGUGCCUCCUAACUUGUCUUUCUAGACAUCAGUGUCUACACGCUCCUAAUGUGUUGCCUACUCUGAAGUGGGAGAAAUCUUCUAAAAAUAGA